GGAAGCGUGGCGGAGUGGUCGAUCGCUUCAGUCUUGAAAACUGACGAACCCGCAAGGGUUCCGUGGGUUCGAAUCCCACCGCUUCCU
rnacentral:tRNA from 1 species